CAUAGAAUAUCGAGAACAGGAAAGAUCAGAGAUGGGAUGAAAACUCUGAGAUUGUGAACCAGAAAGUCAUUGAGAUUAUCACAGAUUCUAGCUUUUUCAAAAAUUGUGAAACACAGUUGAACAUUUUCAAGAUUUCUUGGCCAGUCCCAAAUCCUCAAGCAUCCAGGAAAUGAAAUGCCAGAAAUUCCUGUAUUAAAGGACCAAAACUGAGCUCACAGACUACUUUUUGAACCUUGUACUCAGAAUGACUUAGGCUUCUAAGUCCUGAUAGUUCGUCCAGAAAACAUCAUCACUGAAGACCAUGCAGAGAAAGUAACCCUAUAGCUUAGAAAAGGGAGAACACGAGAAAGCAGCCAAGUGUCACUACUCCAUACUUUCUCACAAGUCUGCAGAAACUGCUUGGAAAAAUAAAUGUGCAUUUCAUAAUGCAGAAACCUGA
rnacentral:sRNA from 1 species